AUUGAACGCUGGCGGCAGGCCUAACACAUGCAAGUCGAGCGAGCGGCGGACGGGUGAGGAAUGUAUGGGGACUGCCCGAUAGAGGGGGAUAACUACUGGAAACGGUAGCUAAUACCGUAACCUAUCGGAUAACCCAGAUGGGAUUAGCUAGUAGGUGAGGUAAUGGCCCACCUAGGCGACGAUCCCUAGCUGGUCUGGGAGGAUGAUCGGCCACACUGGGACUGAGACACGGCCCUGACUCCUACGGAGGCAGCAGUGGGGAAUAUUGCACAAUGGGCGCAAGCCUGAUGCAGCCGUGCCGCGUGUAUGAAGAAGGCCCUAGGGUUGUAAAGUACUUUCAGUCGGGAGGCGUUACCGACAGAAGAAGCACCGGCUAACUCCGUGCCAGCCGCCGCGGUAAUUC
rnacentral:rRNA from 1 species